rnacentral:rRNA from 1 species
CCUACGGGAGGCAGCAGUGAGGAAUAUUGGUCAAUGGGCGUAAGCCUGAACCAGCGAAGUCGCGUGAGGGAAGAAGGCUCUAUGGAUCGUAAACUUCUUUUAUAAGGGAAUAAAGUGCGGGACGUGUCCCUUUUCGUAUGUACCUUAUUAAUAAGGAUCGGCUAACUCCGUUCCAGCAGCCGCGGUAAUACGGAGGAUCCGGGCGUUCGCCGGAUUUAGUGGGUUUAACGGGUGCGUAGACGGCAUUGUAAGUCAGGAGUGAAAGUCUGUGGCUCAACCAUAGAAUUGCAGUUGAAACUGGGAGGCUUGAGUACAGUUGAGGUAGGCGGAAUUCGUGGUGUAGCGGUGAAAUGCUUAGAUAUCACGAAGAACUCCGAUUGCGAAGGCAGCUUACUAAGCUGUGACUGACGCUGAUGCUCGAAAGCGUGGGGAUCAAACAGGAUUAGAUACCCUUGUAGUC